rnacentral:rRNA from 1 species
AGCGAACGCUGGCGGCAGGCCUAACACAUGCAAGUCGAACGAACCUUUCGGGGUUAGUGGCGGACGGGUGAGUAACACGUGGGAACGUGCCUUUAAGUUCGGAAUAACUCAGGGAAACUUGUGCUAAUACCGAAUGUGCCCUUCGGGGGAAAGAUUUAUCGCCUUUAGAGCGGCCCGCGUCUGAUUAGCUAGUUGGUUGAGGUAAUGGCUCACCAAGGCGACGAUCAGUAGCUGGUCUGAGAGGAUGAUCAGCCACAUUGGGACUGAGACACGGCCCAAACUCCUACGGGAGGCAGCAGUGGGGAAUCUUGCGCAAUGGGCGAAAGCCUGACGCAGCCAUGCCGCGUGAAUGAUGAAGGUCUUAGGAUUGUAAAAUUCUUUCACCGGGGACGAUAAUGACGGUACCUGGAGAAGAAGCCCCGGCUAACUUCGUG